rnacentral:rRNA from 1 species
AUUGAACGCUGGCGGCAUGCUUUACACAUGCAAGUCGAACGGUAACAGGCCGCAAGGUGCUGACGAGUGGCGAACGGGUGAGUAAUGCAUCGGAACGUGCCCAGUCGUGGGGGAUAACGCAGCGAAAGCUGUGCUAAUACCGCAUACGAUCUAUGGAUGAAAGCGGGGGACCGUAAGGCCUCGCGCGAUUGGAGCGGCCGCUGUCAGAUUAGGUAGUUGGGGGGGUAAAGGCUCACCAAGCCAACGAUAUGUAGCUGAUCUGAGAGGACGACCGGACAGACUGGGACUGAGACACGGCCCACACUCCUACGGGAGACAGCAGUGGGGAAUUUUGGACGAUGGGCGCAAGCCUGAUCCAGCAAUGCCGCGUGCAGAAAGAAGGCCUUCGGUUUGUAAACCGCUUUUGUCAGGAAAAAAAACUUCUGGGUUAAUACCUCGGGAGGAUGACGGUACCUGAAGAAUAAGCGCCGGCUAACUACGUGCCAGCAGCCGCCGUAACAC